GGGAUCUUGCUAUAUUGCCCAGUCUGGACUUGAACACCUGGGCUCAAGUGAUCCUCCUGCCUUAGUCUCCUAGAAGCUAGGACUGCAGGAAUGUGCCACCAUGCCUGGCUCUCUAUUCAUUUAAACUGCAUAUUAAUCUUUCACAUAUGCUGUAACUUACUCAUAUGUAAUGACUUAUAUAUAUAAUUACUACUUUCUUCAUUUAGGCUUCUGAUCUAUCUGUUUAUCUUUGCAAAUUAUUAUUUAUUUUGUAUCGUGUUGUUUGAUAUGCAUAUUAUGAUUUCUCAGUAGGCUAUUUAAAAAUAUUUAACAAACAAAUAUUAAUUUAAGUCUGGAUAUGUUUAGUAAAUGAAAUAUCUCUUUCUUGCUUUUCUUACUAAGAUAAAAUAUUUUUUAGUGUUGAAACUAUUUUUACAUCAAUUCUUAUAUUAAAAUAAUCUAGUUUUUAAAAAAUUGUUUUAUUAUAUUACAUAUUCAAACAUAAUCUUUUAUAGUAGCUGUAAACUCUAGAGUAGUCAGAUAUUAGCAAGACAGAAAUGUGACUGAGAGAUGAAAUUAUCUUUUUAAAAUGAUAAGAAGUAAAACACUUAAAGUAAAUGUUUAUUUGCCUAAACAAAUACUAAUCUAUGAAUGCAUUUUAAGCACCUAUAUAUUACAUAAAUGUUAAAUUACUAUAUAUCUUUCAUACUAACUAUAAGUUUCAAACCUUGUUUUCAAAAGAAAUAUUUUUUUCAGGUGUUCUUUUCCUUAAGUUCAUUGUUAGAAUUUCAUUGAGGCUUCAAGGGCACUAAAUUAUCUAGCAAAAAAAAUCUCUUUGGGGAAUCUCAACCUUUGAAGUCAUUGUGAUUUGUAACUUUAUCUUGCUAUUUUUCUCUAUUUGUUUUAUUUGUUUGGUUAAUUUAUAUGGAAAUUACUUUCAUUUGCACUGUUUUCUCUAUUGACAUAAUUUAGCUCAAAUCUCCAAUAGUACAGAAAAAUGAUAACUGAAGAUUCAAGUAUUAAAAUGGCCUGCCCUUUAUCACACAGCUGGUUCAUAUAUGUAUUUACAUUUCUUGGCUGCCAGUGAUCUUUAUUCCCCAGGAUCCUGCUACUUCAAGUAUAAUUUAGAAUUUUAAUUUUGUUAUUAUCAUAAAAUCAUCUUAGUUGUUACAGUUUCUUCCUCCUAAAAUACAAUUUUUAUGAACUUGAAUCCAUAGUAAGUACCUAUGUAAUUGCUAUCUUCUUUCUAGUUAACCUGAUACUCUCUGGAGUUACAGCACAAUGCACAUGACAUCCAUAAACUUCAGUGUUGCAACAAUAGAUGGAGAAAGUGAGCUUUAAUUCAGUUGCAGCAGAAUGGUACAGAAAGGUGGAAUGAUUUGCUUGUAAUUUUAUAAUACAGGAAAUCAUUCUAUAAGCACAUUUUCCCAUUAACACUUAAAAAAAACUAUGUGGUUAUUUAUAGUAAGUGUUUAACAGAAUCCUGCUGUGAGAACAUGAACCAUUGAUAUUAUUUAUAUUAAUUCUGGCUAUUCAUGCUGUCUUAUAAUUAGCUUCUACAUGGUUUUAAGAUUGUUUUCAAUAAUUGAACGGGAAGUUGGAGUUGAUGGAGUCUUGUAUGAUAAUCAAAAGGUUUUAUCUAUAAUCAAAAUUAUAGGAUAAUGACAUCAUUGAGAUAGUGAUAAAUAUAUCACAAUUAAAAAUACAUAAUGAUAAUUCUCAUUAGAAAACAAAUGUGCCCACUAAGAUUUUUGAGAGAUUACUUUAUCUCCAUUAAAAUAACCUGGCAUUUGAGUAGGAAUGAUUUUGUUUAUUGUGGGGAUUUAAAUGAUAAAAUAGUCACUUGGGUUUUUGUUAUUUACAAUGUUAAUAACUGUUAACAGUAUAAACAAUUUAAUAAAUCUCAGAAUCCACAAUGAAUUGAAUGAUCAAUUACGUCUAUUAUCACUUAAUCAAGUCUGGUUUUUUGAAUUAUAGUUAUUAACAUGUAAGUGCUUUCAAGUUCUUUAACGGAUUUGUUAUUUUCAGAGGUAUUAAAAUUCUUAGAAGUCUCUUUAACCAUGAAAUAAAGUAUCAUUUAGAGUUUUUAUAUGAAGGGAGGUUUUCAUUACAUUUU
rnacentral:lncRNA from 10 species